CCCACAUCACGAGGGUGUGCAACCAGGUUUUUUCCAAAUUUCCUGAUUUUGUGCAGCUUAGCAAAGAUGCUGCCUUUGAAACUAUUUCAGAUCCAAAAUAUAGUGGAAAAAUGAAGGUUCUACAGAAACUUUUAAAUCACUUUAGGAAAAACAAGGAUAAAGUCCUCCUUUUUUCCUUUUCUACCAAGUUACUUGAUGUACUGGAACAGUAUUCUAUGGCAUCUGGGCUAGAUUACCGAAGACUGGAUGGAAAUACAAAGGCAGAGGACAGGGUCAGGAUAGUAAACGAGUUCAACAGCAUGGAAGAAGUUAACAUUUGCCUCGUUUCU